CGAGACGAACAAAAUUAAAGCGAUCGAAUAGCGAUUAAAUUAAUCAAAAUUAAGUGUUUAAAUACAACGAAUUUCGAACGAAAUUGUAAGCCUAGUGCUGAAGAUCCCAAAUUCCCAGUGACUUCGUUAAUUGAAAUCAGUGGGAAAGGCGUGCAGCGUGAACAAAUCAAGAAAUUUCUUUAUGCCAUCAGUGCAUGUGUCAGUGUGUACGUCGUGUGUGUUGCUGCUGACUGUGUGCGUACGUGCGAUUCAUUCAUUCCCAUUACGUGUGUGCUGCUGGCAAGAUUUGGACUGGGUAAAAGUUAACCAAAUAAAUAAAGCAGAAGCAGCAACAGCUAGCUAGCCAGCCCAUGACUUGUACAAUUCGCUGCUCGUUGUUGUUGUUCACAUUGUCAAAAUAGAUGCUUGCAAUGUAGAGCUGCUGUUGGCCCCUUUGAUGGGGCCUCAGCCAAGUGCCAUGAAAUAGGAAAUAUAUGCAAGCAACGAAAACAAAAACAUUUAUACUAAAUAUAAUAAUAUUUGCGCCGCAAAUUAAAAAGGAAAGCAGCCAUCGUACGUUUAACGUUUUGAAGAAGAAGCAACAAUAAAUACGUCAAAAUACCAAUACAAAGACGAAUUGGAAUUUCGUCGUAUUGGUAAAUACAUACACACAGAGCCACAUAUAUACAUAUAUGUAUGUGCAUAUGUGUGAAAAGUAUUUUCGACGAAUUUUGCCGUUAUCAACACCACCACCCACCCAAUAGCACAAUUAAACGCUCAGUCGUCUAAAAGUGCCAAACACAACGACAACAAACAGACAAGACAAAAAGAAAAAGAAGAAAAGCUCAACGAACACCAACAACUAACAAAUUUGAUACGUAGAAUUAUGAACGUAGAGAACCAAUUGAAGACACCGCUAACGCAGAUUCGUAAUUUGGUCAAACACGUGAACAAACGAAAUUUUAAUGAGAGCAGCGAACAAAUAAAGCAGUUCAUCCAAGAUUACGGCCUCGAAGCGGAUCGCAGCUGUCUCCGCUAUCUGUUCACGGUACUCAACUUGAACGAUUCGGCUCCAAACGUCGCUGCCCAGCUGCAGGCGAAGCUGCUUGGAGCCCACUUGCAGCGUCAACUGCAGAGUUCAUCGUUUGUGACCAACAUUUGCAUAGCCUUCGAUCAUCACUUUGCCAAACAAAAGAGUCUGAAGCCGCUUGCUCUUGCCGAGCUCAUUGGACAGGUUGCCAAGCUCACUGGCAUAAACAAACUCUGCGAGUGUAUCUUUGCGCUAGCGGUCACCCAUAGCACACAUCCGGAACUUCGUCAGUGUGCUCGGGACAGUCUACGGCAUCUGCUGCCCGAGUUGCUCGAUUCGUAUUUGGGUCACAACGCGGCUGCAGCGAGUGGAUUGCACGAGAUCUCGUUUGACCUGCUGCAGUAUUUGCUGUGCUGUUUGAACGAAUACGUUUCACCGCAGUUGGAAUCGCAGUUUCUGGACAAACUGCGCGAGGAGUUUCCACGUGAGGCGGUGCCAUUGGUUUUAGCGCCGCUUUUGUAUCGCAGUGCAACAACGUCGCACACAACCAGCACAACAACGUCGACGACGGCCUCGUCGAGCUCCAAGUCCAACGAAACUGAUGCUGAGGAGGAGACGCCGAACACGAAUACGGCGAACACCGGCAGCAGUUGGAGCAGCUCCAAUGCAGAUAAUCUGAAUGAAGUUGGCAUUGAGGAUAUCUAUGACCACUUAUCCGAGAUAAUAUUUUCAAAACAGGGCAAAAAUAAUAUUAUGGACACAUCUUGGAUUAAUUUAAUCCUUGAAAUCGGUUAUGAAUUUACAUCGAGCGUUGAAGAGUGCAAAAAUCAUUUGUGUUGCGGCGGUGCCUCUCGCGAGUUGCAGCCCAAAGAUGUUGCCAAAAUUGUGGGUCUCAUGUGCCGACGUCACUCGUCGUUGCUCGACUGCAAUGUAAAUCUACCGACACCAGCCAACUUUUGGCCUGGACAGGGACAACAGCAAGGUGGAGGAGGCGGCGGCUCUGGCUCUGGUUCCCAGUCCACCCAACAGAACUCCAACAAUAACAACAAUGAUGGCGGAAGCGAAUCUGGCAGCUCGGCCAGUGACAAAAAGGACAAGAAGGAGACGACAGAUGCAACACAAACAUGGAAGCCGGAUGUCUUUGUGCAAGCGCUCAAGGAGCUGGUGCCACAACUCAACUGGAAGGAUGUGUGCAUGGAGUUCGAUCAUCCCGAAUUUAUCUUAAAGGAUCGCAUUGGCCUAGACCUGCUGCUAACCAUCUUAAGGCUGGCCACCCAAUCGAAUCUGUUUCCUCAACCGGAAUGCAUUUAUCGCCACUGGGCGAACACAGAGGGUCAGCUGUCGCUGAUUACGACAAUGCUGAAGAAUCCCGAUCUGUUCUCCUUUGCCGACUACGUCUUCAGUCAGCCUACGUUGGAUGUGCUAAAGACGCCACCCGAUGCGGAUAACAAGGAGAUUGCCGCAUGGAAAUCACUGCAUUUGGUUGAAGUGCUGCUCUCCAUAGCGGACAAGGGAUACUUUAGUCAAGUGCACGAACUGUUCAAAUUUCCAGCGCAAAAUUGUCCCGAUGUGCUAUUCCUGGCAUUGUUGCACAUUAAUCCGCCAAUCACGCCAUUGCGACAGGAUCUAUUCAAUCAGUUGAUACCCACGUUCCUGGGCAAUCAUCCUAAUUCGAAUGUGAUUUUGGGCAGUGCCUGGAGCUCAACAAACUUUCAGUUGCGCAACAGCAUCAUGAACGCCAUGUCAGAGUGGUAUUUGCGUGGCAGUGAAUACGAUCAGGUGAAACUGUCGCGCAUCUUGGAUCUGGCCCAGGAUUUGAAGGCGCUGUCGUCACUGCUUAAUGCACGCUCAUUUCUGUUCAUCAUUGAUUUGGCCUGUUUGGCCUCGCGUCGCGAAUACUUGAAGUUGGAGAAGUGGUUGAGCGACAAGAUACGUGAGCAUGGCGAGCCCUUCAUCCAAGCCAUGAUCAAGGUGUUGCAACGUCGCUGUCCCCAGGUGACCAAUGCCAAGCUACCUGAAGAUCAGCUUCCCCCCAAGCAAGCUCAACUGUUGCCCGAAACCGUAACCACAAUGAUCAGCUGUCUGCAAGCGUGUAUCAACACUUGCAUGCAAUCCGAAAUGGUUGAAAUAAUCAUGCAGAUGGUGGCAAAUGUUGCUAUCAUGGCGAACAAAGCGCGUGCUGCACAACAGCAACAACAACAGCAGCAGCAGCAGCAACAACAACAGCAACAGGCUGGUGGACCUCAAGGCUUAGUGCCACCUCCGCCAAACAUUAUGCGGGGACAUCGUGGCAUGGAUUUGCCGGGUGGAGGCAUUGUGCCUGGCGCUGUGCCACCACCGCCGCAGCCACAGCAGCCAUUCUCUGCCAACCUGAAUGCACAGCAAAUGUUUGGACCCGGCGGCAUGGAUCCGUUGACCAACAUGUCCAACAAUCUGGCCGGCCUCAAUCUUGGAGGUCCAAAUGGAGCAUUCAACUUUGGCGGCAUGCUGAACAACUUGGUUUCUACUCCAGCAUCUCCGUCACGACUCAUGAAUCCCGGCGCCAACCCCUAUCCGCCCAUUCCCAUACAGAUCCCAGCACCACCGCCACCAAAUGUGGGUAAUCUGGGACGUAUGUUGCCAACGGGGCCACAGCCAACACCAACGACGCCAAAUCCCAGCUCAGGCAUGGCUGAUCUGCAGAUGCCCGUAUCCAAGGAGGUGGAGGAUGAGGCGAACUCAUACUUUCAACGCAUCUACAACCAUCAGCCGAAUCCCACGCUCUCAAUCGAUGAGGUGCUGGACAUUCUCCAGCGCUUCAAGGAGUCGAGCAAUCGUCGCGAACAGGAGGUCUUCCUUUGCAUGCUGCGCAAUCUCUUUGAGGAGUAUCGCUUCUUUGCCCACUAUCCCGAGAAGGAGUUGCAAAUAACAGCGCAGCUCUUUGGCGGCAUCAUCGAUAGGAAUUUGGUGCCCACAUUCGUGGCGUUGGGACUCUCGUUGCGCUGUGUGCUCGACGCUCUGCGCAAACCCGAAGGUUCCAAGCUCUAUUACUUUGGUGUGACGGCACUCGAUCGCUUCAAGACACGACUGCACACCUACAACAAGUACUGCGAGCACAUACGCUCCAUACCGCACUUUACUGACUUCCCGCAACAUCUGAUUCAGUAUGUGGAGUACGGCAUGCAUGGCCAGGAGCCACCGCAGCAGAAACUGAUUGGCCUCAGCAAUACCAUACCAUCAGCCCUUGGCCAGGGAGCAGCUGAUCCAUUGUAUCGUGCUAAUUCAAUGCCCGGCAAUAUGCCAGCUGCUUCGAAUGUGCUAAAGCCACCAGUUGUGGUCUCUCAUGCAACACGCAUGAAGUCCAUUGCGAAUGCCACCAAUAUUGAUACGCUGCUGGUUGCCAACCAGGAGGAAAAGGUGACGGUGCCACCAGAGCCGGUGCAGGACAAAACUGCGUUCAUAUUCAACAACCUCAGCCAGCUGAAUAUACCGCAAAAGUGCGAGGAGAUCAAGGAGAUCAUGACCAAAGAGUAUUGGCCCUGGCUGGCGCAGUAUUUGGUGCUGAAGCGAGCCUCCAUGGAGUUCAACUUCCACACGCUCUACUACAAUUUCCUUGAUGCACUAAAGAAUAGCGAAAUCAACAGAUUUGUGACGAAGGAAACGCUGCGUAACAUCAAGGUGUUGUUGCGUUCCGACAAGGGUGUCAUUAAUUUCUCGGAUCGCAGUCUGCUCAAGAAUCUUGGCCAUUGGCUGGGCAUGAUGACCCUCGGACGCAAUCGUCCGAUCCUGCAGAUAGAUUUGGAUCUCAAGUCCCUGCUCGCCGAGGCUUAUCACAAGGGACAGCAGGAGCUGUUGUUUGUGGUGCCAUUUGUGGCCAAGAUACUUGAGUCGUCGGCCAAGUCACGCAUUUUUAAAUCGCCCAAUCCCUGGACCAUGGGUAUUAUGUAUGUGCUGGGGGAACUGCAUCAGGAGCCGGAUCUCAAACUGAACCUUAAGUUCGAAAUCGAAGUGCUGUGCAAAACGCUCAAUCUGGAGCUGGACAAAUUGAAGCCAGUCAUCUAUCUGAAGGAUCCAACGCGUGCGCUGCUCAUCGAACAACAGAUGUCGCAACCCAAGCCAAAGGCUGUCGAGGCGCCGCCACAACAACAACAGCAGCAGCAACAACCGCCGCCACAACAGCAACAGCAGCAACCUCCACCGCCACCACCAUCAGCUGAGGUGGAUCCACAGGCUAUGAUGAUGAACAACUCGAACGCACCAGGAUCUGUGUCGUCACCCAAUCUGCCCACGGAUCCCAGCCAAGUGGUGUUGCCACCGCCAGAGCCACGCUACUCUUACGUCGAGGUGAACGUGACCAAUUUCCAGCUGAUUGCCCAGCAAUUGGUGUUGCCAGCGAACAUUCCGUUCCUUCACGCCAAUCCCGGCAUCAAGCACAUCGUGGUUAAUGCCAUCGAACGCACAAUUACCGAUUGGUUGCAGCCCGUCGUUGAUCGCAGCAUACGCAUUGCCUGCGCUACCACAGAACAGAUUAUACGUAAAGAUUUCGCUCUGGAUGCGGACGAGAAUCGCAUGCGCACCGCUGCCCAUCAAAUGGUACGCAAUCUGGCCGCUGGCAUGGCCAUGAUCACGGGCAAAGACGAAAUCGCACGUGCCAUCAGUCAGAAUCUGCACAAGGCGUUUAUUAGUGCACUCACUGGUGUGUCCAGCAUGUCCGACAUUCAGGCUGCAUCCGUGCAGUUGGCCAACGAGAAUGUGGAGCUGGUGUGCGCCUUCAUACAGAAGACAUCGGCAGAGAAAUCGGCCCUCGAGAUCGAUCGACGACUGUCGACCGACUUUGAGACGAGGAAGAUUGCACGCGAAGAGGGCAGUCGCUUUGUCGACGCUCAGAUCUUGAGCUACCAGCAGGAGCGUCUGCCGGAGCCAGUGCGUCUCAAGGUGGGCCCAGCACCGCCCACUCUGUAUGCUGUCUACUCGGAGUUUGCACGCAGCAUUCCCGGAUUCCAGCAGAUGAGCGAUCGUGACAUUGCACUGUUUGUGCCGAAGCCGCAGGAUUUGCAGCCACCGAAUGUGUUUGCCAACGAUGAGAGCAGCAUGGUCUAUGCCGAGGUCGCUUCCAAAAUGGAAGCGUUCAUGAAUGCUGCUAUGAAUGUGCCCACACUGCAGCUGCAGGCCAGCAAGAUUGCGAUGCUUUUGAAUGCACUGAUGAACACACGUCGCUUGCGCGAUCAGGAAUCUGCUUUUAAUCUCUUGACCCGUGCCGUUGAGGGCUUGACUGAGGGUCUGAUUAAUGUUCAGGAUCACAUGGAACAAAUGAAGCUGUACCGCGAUAUCCACUUGCGCAUUCUCAGUCUGCUGCACAACAGCUUUGGCGCCCCGAACACUGAGCGUGCGGUGACCAAGUGCUUCUUUGACAUUCGCGAGGAUGUGCGCUACAAUGUGGAGGCGGCUCGCGCCCUGAUUACAUCCCACUUUGUCAACCUCAAUCAGUUUGAUGGUAUGCUGCGCGAUUGCAUGGACAAUGGCAACAACUAUGUUGCCUUCUCGUUUGGCAUUGCGCUGAUCGAGCGUUUGAUUAUGGAGGAUCGUGCCAUCAACAUUGUGUCGGACAAUGAAUUCAUGGCUACAGUUGAGCUCCUUGGACGGCUGACACAACAUCGUCAUCGCUAUCCCGAGUGCAUUGUGAAUGCUAUUGAGACACUCUGGUCUGGCAAUCUCAACACCAGCGACUAUGGACCAUUCAAUCCUGGUGAGCGUUAUCUCGCUGGCACAUCGCAUUACAUUCACUCCGGCAUGCAUCAUGUUAGGUCAUGCGACACAGAUGAUCCGCCAGGUCUACAGGAGAAGACCGAGUUUCUGCUCAAGGAUUGGGUUGCCCUUUACACACAGCAGAAUCAGCAGACAACUCGCGAUGCGCGCCAUUUCGGUGCCUUCGUCCAGAAGAUGAACACAUAUGGCAUUUUGAAGACGGAUGAUCUGAUUACACGUUUCUUCCGUCAGGCAACACACAUUUGCACAGAUGUGGUGUACCGCAUGUUUGCGGAACCCAGUCUGCCCAUCAACCAGGCCAAGAACAAGAUAUUCCAAUGGAUCGAUGCUUUCGUGCAUUUGAUUGCGAUGCUCGUGCGCCAUUCCGGCGAAGCGGGUAACCCAACAACCAAGAUCAAUCUGUUGAACAAAGUGCUGGGCAUUGUGCUCGGUACACUGCUGAAGGAUCAUGAGAUGCGUGGGGUCGGCUUCCAGCAGGUUGGCUACCAUCGCUUCUUCAUGAUGCUCUUCAUGGAACUGUGCAGCGCCGAUGUGAACUUGGAGUCGCUGAUGCACAGCAUCGUGUCGGCCUUUGCCUACACAUAUCAUCUGCUCAAUCCGAGCGUUGCGCCAGGCUUCUGCUUUGCCUGGCUGGAGCUCAUCUCUCACCGCGUCUUCCUUGGCCGCAUUUUGGUGCAGAUACCCGGCCAGAAGGGUUGGCCUCUGUAUGCCCAACUGUUGCAGGAUCUCUUCAAAUAUCUCGCACCAUUCUUGCGCAACACCGAACUGGGCAAACCCGUCCAGUUGCUCUACAAGGGCACGCUGCGCGUCCUGCUCGUGUUGCUGCACGAUUUCCCAGAGUUCCUCUGCGACUAUCACUUCGGCUUCUGCGACACCAUACCGCCUAACUGUGUCCAGAUGCGUAACAUCAUUCUCUCAGCCUUUCCACGCAACAUGCGUCUACCCGAUCCCUUCACACCCAAUCUGAAAGUUGAUAUGCUUUCGGACAGCAGCAAUGCGCCCAAGGUGUGCAGCAGCUACAUCAUGAACAUUCAGCCGCCCAACUUUAAAAAGGAUCUGGACUCUUAUUUGAAGGCACGCGCUCCCGUCACAUUCCUCUCGGAACUGCGUGGUCAUCUGCAGGUGACCAGUGAGCCAGGCACACGCUACAACAUGACGCUGAUGAAUGCCUUGGUCAUGUACGUGGGCACCCAGGCAAUUGCCCUAAUCAGGAACAAGAACUUUGUGCCCAACACAUCGAACAUUGCGCACAGCGCACACAUGGACAUCUUCCAGAAUCUGGCCGUUGAUCUGGACACCGAGGGUCGCUAUCUAUUCCUGAACGCCAUUGCCAAUCAGUUGCGCUAUCCCAACAGUCACACGCACUACUUUAGUUGUGCCGUGUUGCAUUUGUUCGCCGAGGCCAACUCUGAGGCAAUUCAAGAGCAGAUCACACGUGUUCUGCUCGAGCGUUUGAUUGUAAAUCGCCCACAUCCAUGGGGACUGCUCAUUACAUUCAUUGAGCUAAUCAAGAACCCGAUUUACAAGUUCUGGGAUCAUGAUUUCGUGCACUGUGCACCCGAGAUUACCAAAUAUUUUGGUGAAUGUCUGAAUGUGUUUACUCGAUUCGAGUCAUUGAAUGGCAUUCAGUGUGCAGCCUAGAGAACGAAGAGUGUCGUAAUAUUGUUACAGUAAUAAUAAUGAACAUCAAAUCAUUUCAUGCAUGCAUCCUAACCGCAACUCAUUUUUUGUAUUACCUAUUGGUUUAUUUGUAACUUUUUAUUUGUAAUUCAAUUUCGCAUAUAAGAAAUAUUUUUUAAUACAUUGUUGUUCGAGUCUGUGGCGCGCUCUUGCUUGGCCAAGUCCAAUGUGACACAACAGCUAAACAUGGCCGUCGAUGGCGAGAACCAGGAGGUCGUCAACAUUAACUGAGGAAACGCUACCGUCGAAAGAUUUGGCAUGGAAGUUUGUGCCCUUCAACGCAGAGAUCAAUCGAUAUUGCAUCAUCGUUAUCAGUAACAGGAGCAGCAGGAACAGCAGCAGCAGCAGCAACAUUAGCAGCAAAGAAAGGCAACCCCCAUAAAAUCAAUUAUAUAUAUAUAUACUAACAAAAUGUGUUUAGUUUUUAGUAAAUCGUUUUAAGAAAAUAUUGAAACAAUGAAAAUACGCUGAGAAAAACAAAAAUUCGCCAGUUCAAAAAUAACAAACAAAAAUCAAACAAAAAGAAAAACUGGCCACCGAAGAAAAAACAGAACUGUUAAAUACGAAAAAAAUCGAACUGUAUUUAGUAGUAAAUUGUUUUGAGAUAACCGAGAUGAGAACAUUUUAAAUGCCCGCAAAUGUUAAACAAAUUUUAAUUGAGUUGUAUUAUAAUUAUAAAUGAAAUUCCUGUAUUUACCUGUGGUUUUAUACCUGGGCUCAGGUAGCAAUUAGCUGUCCGGUUCAAACGCCCUAAAUAUAAUGCUAGAUGGAAUAGUAAAUCAAAUGAAAAACACAAAAAACUAUCUACUUAUAAAAAUAAAAACACAACAAAGAAAAAAAAAAUAAAAUGCAAAAAAAAAUCUUUAAAAAUAUAAAAAAUGUUAAAGAAAAAAAUGGUAAAAUGUACUCGAAAACACAAAAAACUAACAAAUGCGAUGUAAAUAUGUAGUUGUUGUUGCUAUUGAUAUGGAACAACAACAACAAUAACCAUGAUGAUAAUAAUAAUAACAGCGGUAACAUUAUUAUAAACGAAAAGACAUAGCAGCAACAACAAGCACAUAUAAUAGUAUACAUAUAUAUGUAUUAUUAUGUAUGUAUGUAUAUCACAUGUAACUAAAUAACAUACUUAAAUAUUCUCAUCAGAUAUGUGUAUUUAUAAAUACGGAGCAGAAAUUAUUGUGUAAAGCCAAUUUCAAUGCAAUUCAAGAAAAGAAAAAGCUGUUACAGACAACUUUUUAUGCUUCUAAUUAGAUUUUCGUAUACUCCUCAAUUAAUUUUUAAACUGUUUCAAACAUGCUCGGGGAGGAAUGAUCGAUCUUCUCUUCAAGAUAAAUACUUAUAUAUAUGCCCCUAAUUUUGUACUAUUCUUAACAACAACAACAAAAUGAAAAACGAAACAAACAUUGCAUUGAAACUUCAAUUUUUUAAAUUGCGUAUUUAUAUUGUAAAAAUCGGAAUCGUAAACGGAAACAAAGUGAUCGGAGUCAGAUGUAUAGAGAAGAUAUAUAUAUAUAAAUAUAUUUAAAGGAAAAUAGAAAGAGAUAUAUAUUAAAUUCGUAAAUGUAAAGCGAUAUGGACGAGAAGAGUUGCAGAUGGAGAUUGAGAUAAAAGUUUAUUUUAUAUCUAAAAUUCCUAUGUUUAGUUUAUUUUAAUGUUAAUUAAAUGUUACUA